rnacentral:rRNA from 1 species
UACAGAGGGUGCGAGCGUUAAUCGGAAUUACUGGGCGUAAAGCGUGCGUAGACGGUUUUGUAAGUCGGAUGUGAAAUCCCCGGGCUCAACCUGGGAAUUGCAUUCGAGACUGCAAGGCUUGGGUGCGGAAGAGGGAAGCGGAAUUUCCGGUGUAGCGGUGAAAUGCGUAGAUAUCGGAAGGAACACCAGUGGCGAAAGCGGCUUCCUGGUCCGACACCGACGUUCAGGCACGAAAGCGUGGGGAGCAAACAGG